UGAUCUACCCUGUCACCCUGAACCAUUAUAGGGAGGUAGUAUCUGUUCCUGGGUCAGUGAUCUACCCUGUCACCCUGAACCAUUAUAGGGAGGUAGUAUCUGUUCCUGGGUCAGUGAUCUACCCUGUCACCCUGAACCAUUAUAGGGAGGUAGUAUCUGUUCCUGGGUCAGUGAUCUACCCUGUCACCCUGAACCAUUAUAGGGAGGUAGUAUCUGUUCCUGGGUCAGUGUUCUACCCUGUCACCCUGAACCAUUAUAGGGAGGUAGUAUCUGUUCCUGGAUCAGUGAUCUACCCUGUCACCCUGAACCAUUAUAGGGAGGUAGUAUCUGUUCCUGGGUCAGUGAUCUACCCUGUCACCCUGAACCAUUAUAGGGAGGUAGUAUCUGUUCCUGGGUCAGUGAUCUACCCUGUCACCCUGAACCAUUAUAGGGAGGUAGUAUCUGUUCCUGGGUCAGUGAUCUACCCUGUCACCCUGAACCAUUAUAGGGAGGUAGUAUCUGGGGGGACGACAACACCUUCAGUAGUAACGCCUUGGACCAGAGCUACGUCUUCCUCUAGUGUCUCUAAGCCCCCCCGUCCUGCAUGUUACGUUGUUUACUACAGGACCUGUUGUUACAGUCACCUCUUUUACUUCAUCUUUACCUUGACUUUUCCCAUUGGUUGAUUAUAGUUAUUUUAUUGUUAGUUUGGGGUAGGGGGCGGGGGGCUUGUUCUCUGACAGAUGCACAGCUUUUAUUUCCGCUAUGCUGAUCAAUUAGACAAAUCACCAAUUCUCAGGUGCUGAUUUGGCCCGUAGACUUAAUGAAACGUUUCAGAGGGGUGGAGAGGAGUCACGGCAGUACGUUUUCAAACCCCUCCUCCCUCCAGAACUUUAAUUUUGAGCAUCUGACGUUAAAUACACAGGAUUUAACUAAAGGGUGUAACCGUGGUUACAGCUGAACACCUGACCAGGGGCCACGUUCAGUCGCCGAAACGCGUUGUGAAACGUUGUGAAACGUUGUGAAACGUGAGCAGCUAGAAAUGUCACGGAUAGAGCCGACCACGGUUCCUUAUUCUACGUCUGUCAGAGAGGCGUGUUUCUUCUACAUAACAUAUUUCUACCUGAACGUUUUUCCACACGUUACGUCCCGCUGUAACCGUGGUAACCAUGUCAACACCCCCCCUUCACCGGUCCGACCGGCCAAUCAAACUUUCUGUUGCAUAUUCUAGAAAACAUAUAUCUAUGCUAUAUCCCUUUUUAUUGUUCAGCUCAAACGGCAUCCUGUUCCCUAGGUAACACUACUACUGGCCAGAGGGUCAGCCACCAUCCUGUUCCCUAGGUAACACUACUACUGGCCAGAGGGUCAGCCACCUCAUCAGAACCUAAUAUCUAACAAAUUACACAACAAACACCUAAUUAACACCUAAAACAUAGUGGCUAAAGUAGUGCACUAUAAUAGGGAACAGGGAGCCGUUCGGGAGUGGGCUGACCUCUUAGUGUCUGUUGAGAUGCCAUGAUGAUGAUGAUGAUAACAUGUAUGUAACAUGGUUUGUAAUAAGAUGUACAGUUUAAAGACCUUUAUGAAUGGAAGAGCUGACUGACUGGCUGGUUUACUGUCUGUUACACAGAGGAACCAUGGACUGUAUAACAUGUCCUAUUGGUACACUGUUCCCUGUGCUGUGCACUUUGCUAGACCAGGGGUAGCAGCCCAAUGGGUCCUGGUCAAACCUAGUUCACUACAGGAAGCCAUUUGGGUUGCAGGUGAGUGUGGGGGGUUUGUUCAGUGAAGCCCUGUUGUAAACCUGCUGUUCAACUGACAGGGUUUAUGUAUAAAGAACUGUGGACUGAUACAUAAUAGUAAUGAUCUGUUUAGGUUUUAGUUUAAACUGUAAAAAAAAGAACUGUUCCACAAAAAUGCUUCCGUUUUAAAAUAAUAUCUUCCUAAACUGUU